rnacentral:misc_RNA from 1 species
AAGUCGUAACAAGGUAACCGUAGGUGAACCUGCGGUUGGAUCAUUAGUAAAUGAUAGCCUUCUGCUGAUGGAGUUUCGCAAGAGACUUCUCGCAGCGGGUCUUUACCUCUGUGCACUGUAUUGUUUUUGGGUGGAUUGUUUCGGCAACCACCCGCAAUCUAAACCUUUAUAUUUUUUGACUGACCGUAUUAUUCUUAUGAAUUAAAUACAACUUUUGACAACGGAUCCCUUGGCUCUC